AUUGAACGCUGGCGGCAUGCCUUACACAUGCAAGUCGAACGGCAGCACGGGGCAACCUGGUGGCGAGUGGCGAACGGGUGAGUAAUGCAUCGGAACGUACCUUUCAGUGGGGGAUAACGUAGCGAAAGUUACGCUAAUACCGCAUAUUCUGUGAGCAGGAAAGCAGGGGAUCGCAAGACCUUGCGCUGAUUGAGCGGCCGAUGUCAGAUUAGCUAGUUGGUGAGGUAAAGGCUCACCAAGGCGACGAUCUGUAGCGGGUCUGAGAGGAUGAUCGGCCACACGGGAACUGAGACACGGUCCAGACUCCUACGGGAGGCAGCAGUGGGGAAUUUUGGACAAUGGGGGCAACCCUGAUCCAGCCAUGCCGCGUGAGUGAAGAAGGCCUUCGGGUUGUAAAGCUCUUUCGGCCGGGAAGAAAUCGCACGGGCUAAUACCCUGUGUGGAUGACGGUACCGGAAUAAGAAGCACCGGCUAACUACGUGCCAGCCGCCGCGGUAAGAC
rnacentral:rRNA from 1 species